rnacentral:rRNA from 1 species
CCUACGGGAGGCAGCAGUGAGGAAUAUUGGUCAAUGGCCGAGAGGCUGAACCAGCCAAGUCGCGUGAGGGAUGACGGCCCUACGGGUUGUAAACCUCUUUUGUCGGGGAGCAAAGAGAGUCACGUGUGGCUCAUUGAGAGUACCCGAAGAAAAAGCAUCGGCAAACUCCGUGCCAGCAGCCGCGGUAAUACGGAGGAUGAGAGCGUUAUCCGGAUUUGUUGGGUUUAGAGGGUGCGCAGGCGGAGGUGCAAGUCAGUGGUCAAAUUGCGGGGCUAACCCCCGUACUGCCGUUGAAACUGCAGCCCUUGAGUGCGCACGAAGUAGGCGGAAUGCGUGGUGUAGCGGUGAAAUGCAUAGAUAUCACGCAGAACUCCGAUUGCGAAGGCAGCAUACCGGCGCGCAACUGACGCUCAUGCACGAAAGCGUGGGUAUCGAACAGGAUUAGAUACCCCAAUAGUC